GCACUACAGGAGGUGGGGGCUGACCCAGCACGGACGCACCCUGCCCACGCUUGGUGCAAACAGCAAGAAUUCGGCGUGCCUCACUCAGCCCAGGGAGCUAUGCACAGUGUAACCAGGAACUGCUGCCUGCUGACUGCUAACAGUCCACGCGGCCAUGCAGGAGAGAGUCUGCCCACAGAAGAAGAAGCAACUGGGCACACGAUGCACUUGUGAGAAGAGGCACCUUCCUGCAAAGAACGUGUGCAGAAAGGAUUUGCUUUGUUAGCCCAAAACCACCUCAGAAAGCCUAAGUCUAAACUGACCCAAAAGUGCUGACUGAAGGAAGGAAUGCUAGCAGGGCACACUGGCAUGAGCACAAGGAUAUAUUAGCUGCACACGAAUAAAACUAAUUUGGAAAUUAGAUUAAGAUGUCAAGCCACAGAGCAGUUUUGCUCUGAAACAGCCUUCCAACCCAAGAAACAACACAGAUGGACCCUGUUCUGUGUAUGAGUUAUAUAUGACACGGUGAGGCUGGCAGUGACAGCCAAGGAUGCAAUUUCAUGCCCCCAGAAUGUCACCUUUAGGUCUAUGAACUUCCCUUUGGUUUACCAGGAGCCAACACAAAUCCUCUUGGUGAACACACAGAUUGUCACCUUUCUGUGCCUCGUUUGUACAUACGUACAAUCAGGGAGGUAGUAAUUUACUCUUGGAAGACUUGCUCUGGAGUUUUACUUCCUCAACACCUGUAGGUUGCUUGGAGGUGGCUGCAUGGAAGCUGCAACAGAAACCCAAUUAACUCCUCAAUGAAAAUUCUGCUUUUGGACACUGCUUGCCUGUACUGAACCCAGACCUGUGCACUAACCAAUCUCCUUCUCAUCUGUUUCUGAUUGUAUCAUACCAUCUUCAUCAAGGUCACCAGUGCUUAGCAACACUAUCAGAGAUGUACCAGCAGUAAAACAUCAACAACAGUUGUAUCACUUCUGAUAUGAAAAAGUACACCCAUAGGUUCAGCCAUCAAAACCAGAUAACAUGUCAGUGACUCACACUGCAGUGAUAUACUUCCUCCUAAUUUUUCUCCCACAGAAGGUAGUUCCAUAUAGGUUUGUAGUGAAUUCAGCUGGCUCUUCUCUUCUACUCCAGUAGGACGGAAAGUAUAAAACAAGCAUUGUUGAAAGAAUCACAGGUGGAGGUUGCUGUUAAUAACAACAACAACAAAAAAAAAAAAGGAUAGGAGGUGCCUACAGUUAAAAAGAAGCGUGCUGGCCCUUGGUCUUGGCGCUGAGCUCCUAUCUGCUCGCUGAACGCUGAGCUGUCCAGCAUCCCAAAUCUGCUCACUGUUAAAUUCAGCUGCUGCUGAGUGCAGUCACUGCAAGAAGUGAGAAAUGAAGUAGCCUGAAGAAAUCAGCCUGGAGCUUGUUUCCAGACUGACAAGGAUGGCAAAUAUCUCACCUAGUGGUACCCCUACUUUGUCAUCCAUGCUUUGUGUUUAAGCUGCUACCGGUGGCAUCCAGCCUCCAUGAUUCCAGUGACCACCCACUGUGUGCAGGGGAGGUUUAU